UGGAGGAGCCAGCCGAUGAUAAGAAGCAUGCCAGCUGGUAACAUACAGCUCUCCUCUGCCAUAUACAUCGCUGGAGAGUCCUUUUCUAAAUUCGAAAGGGUCUUCAAUGAAAUGAACGUGGCGAUUCACAAAUACCGCACAUUCCGCCGGCAUACCAAAACCUAUGUUGAGCCAGCCAUUGUUUACGCAUGGAAACAGUCACAGAAUGACUUGCUCGCACAGUGCCAGUCUUCACCUAAUGGCAUCAUAGCCGGUGGUGACAUGCGUGCAGACUCUCCAGGCCACUCAGCAAAAUAUGGAAGCUACACGAUGAUGAACUUGGCUGUAGACAAGGUGA